rnacentral:tRNA from 1 species
CGGGGCGUAGCGCAGCUGGCUAGCGCACUUGCUUUGGGAGCAAGGGGUCGACGGUUCAAGUCCGUCCGCCCCG